AAUUGACACAUGACCAUGUCUCUCUUGAAAUCAUGUAAAUUUCUAGCUUGUAGACAUGACAUGGCUACAUCUCCCAAGCACACGGUUGUGUCUAUUUCACCAAAAGAAGCAGAAGUAUUUUGUUGAUAACAAAUCGUCGUGCACUUUUGGCCAUGUCUUAGUCUAGUAUAAAGCACGCGAUCGUGUCUUCAAUUACAUGGUCAUGUCUCACUCCUCCUCAGAAGUAGAAACACUAGCUUCUUAACACAUGGCCGUAUGUUAUGGCCAUG
rnacentral:lncRNA from 1 species